GAUGAACGCUGGCGGCGUGCCUAAUACAUGCAAGUCGAGCGAACAGAUGAGGAGCUUGCUCCUCUGACGUUAGCGGCGGACGGGUGAGUAACACGUGGAUAACCUACCUAUAAGACUGGGAUAACUUCGGGAAACCGGGGCUAAUACCGGAUAAUAUAUUGAACCGCAUGGUUCAAUAGUGAAAGACGGUUUUGCUGUCACUUAUAGAUGGAUCCGCGCCGCAUUAGCUAGUUGGUAAGGUAACGGCUUACCAAGGCAACGAUGCGUAGCCGACCUGAGAGGGUGAUCGGCCACACUGGAACUGAGACACGGUCCAGACUCCUACGGGAGGCAGCAGUAGGGAAUCUUCCGCAAUGGGCGAAAGCCUGACGGAGCAACGCCGCGUGAGUGAUGAAGGUCUUCGGAUCGUAAAACUCUGUUAUUAGGGAAGAACAAAUGUGUAAGUAACUAUGCACGUCUUGACGGUACCUAAUCAGAAAGCCGCGGCUAACUACGUG
rnacentral:rRNA from 1 species